UGACAUUCUUCUGUCCUAAGGACUAGUGCCC
rnacentral:piRNA from 1 species